rnacentral:rRNA from 1 species
CCUACGGGGGGCUGCAGUGGGGAAUAUUGCACAAUGGGCGCAAGCCUGAUGCAGCCGUGCCGCGUGUGUGAAGAAGGCCUUCGGGUUGUAAAGCACUUUCAGCGGGGAGGAAGGCGUUAAGGUUAAUAACCUUGGCGAUUGACGUUACCCGCAGAAGAAGCACCGGCUAACUCCGUGCCAGCAGCCGCGGUAAUACGGAGGGUGCAAGCGUUAAUCGGAAUUACUGGGCGUAAAGCGCACGCAGGCGGUCUGUCAAGUCGGAUGUGAAAUCCCCGGGCUCAACCUGGGAACUGCAUUCGAAACUGGCAGGCUAGAGUCUUGUAGAGGGGGGUAGAAUUCCAGGUGUAGCGGUGAAAUGCGUAGAGAUCUGGAGGAAUACCGGGGGCGAAGGCGGCCCCCUGGACAAAGACUGACGCUCAGGUGCGAAAGCGUGGGGAGCAAACAGGAUUAGAUACCCUUGUAGUC